rnacentral:tRNA from 1 species
GCGCCCAUAGCUCAGUUGGUAGAGCACCUGCCUUUUAAGCAGAGGGUCGCAGGUUCGAAUCCUGCUGGGCGCA